rnacentral:rRNA from 1 species
UACGUAGGGGGCAAGCGUUGUCCGGAUUUAUUGGGCGUAAAGCGCGUGUAGGCGGCCACGCAGGUCCGCUGUGAAAACUCGAGGCUCAACCUCGAGCUGUCGGUGGAAACCGCGUGGCUAGAGUCCGGAAGAGGGGACUGGAAUUCCCGGUGUAGCGGUGGAAUGCGCAGAUAUCGGGAGGAACACCCGUGGCGAAGGCGGGUCCCUGGGACGGUACUGACGCUGAGAAGCGAAAGCAUGGGGAGCGAACAGG